CUUCCCGCCGUCGCGCAUGCUCGUCGUCGACGGAAACGCGCUGCACUUCGAUCCGGUUCCGGAGAUGAACCGGAUCGAGCGAUAUCUCGGCGUACCGGAGAACAUCACCGGAUCCGACUUUUUCUUGAACGAGAAAACCGGAUUCCUCUGUCUAUCGCGCCGCGGGAAGUGCCUCCCGAAGAACAAAGGAAGACGACAUCCGCCGUUCCCUGCAGGCGUGAAGGAGAAGCUAAGAGAGUUCUUCUUGCCGCGUAACGAAGCUUUCUUCUCUAGCGUCGGUCGUCGAUUCGACUGGUGACACGAACCAAUGGUUGGCACGACUGUCCCAAGAUCACACAGGAAUAGCACUGUGCGAUAGCAAAAUAGUAAGAUUGUAAGAUAGUAAGACUUUAAAACUGAAAGACUGAAAGAUAAUAGUAAGACUGUGAGAUAGUAAGACUGUAAGAUAGUAAGACGUUAAGAUAGUAAGACUGUGAAAUAGUAAGACUGUGAGAUAGUAAGACUGUGAGAUAGUAAGACUUCAAGAUAGUAAGACUGUGAGAUAGUAAGACUUUAAGAUAGUAAGACUGUGAGAUAGUAAGACUGUAAGAUAGUAAGACGUUAAGAUAGUAAGACUGUGAAAUAGUAAGACUGUGAGAUAGUAAGACUUUAAGAUAGUAAUAAAACUGUGAGAUAGUAUGAUAGUAAGACUUCAAGAUAGUAAGACUUCAAGAUAGUAAGACUGUGAGAUAGUAAGACUGUAAGACUGUGAGAUAGUAAGACUUUAAGAUAGUAAGACUGUGAGAUAGUAAGACUGUAAGAUAGUAAGACUGUAAGAUAGUAAGACUGUAAGACUGUGAGAUAGUAAGACUGUGAGAUAGUAAGACGUUAAGAUAGUAAGACUUUAAGAUACUAAGACUGUGAGAUAGUAAGACUUCAAGAUAGUAAGACUGUGAGAUAGUAAGACUUUAAGAUAGUAGGACUGUAAAACAGGAAGUUAGUAAGACUGUGUGUAUAAUAAUGUAUAUAUUUGCUAGUAGCCUUUAAUGAAACAUUACAAUGUAAGCACUAAACAAUACACGUGUUAUGAUUUGACGUCGUAUUGCACUAAUGACGUCAACGAUUUCUCAUCCGCAACCGCCAAAACCUACAUGCAGUGCUAGUAUGAUGAGAUCAGAGAUCUAGAGAUCUAGAUCUAUAGACUAUCCUAUCAUAUCGUCUAUAUUAUACACUCCUUAUGAGAUUAUAGCGUCCUGCCUCCAGCUCUCACGCGACCCCCCCCCACACUGUUCCACGCGACCCACAUUUCGUGUGGGCUAAUGAGAAUUCCCGUAUCAUCUCUAUGAUGUAGCAUAUGCUGCUUGUGUCAACAGCAAACCUCAAAACCCUCAUUAUAAUAACGAAGGUACGCCCUCGGCGAAAUGCAUACAUUCUGCUUUUCCUAUGUUGUGUCGAUACAUAACAGGUACCCUUAGAAAUGCACGCGUAAAGUAUUGUCCAGAAAAUCUAUAAUACAUCGAUACAUUUUGUUUUCUAUA